GUUUAUGUAUGGCAUUAUCAGUAAAGAAGUUCUGAGUAAACACGUUGACGUUGAUACCGCUUCUCUGCCGAACCUUAUAUUAGUGCCUCAUGCAGUCAUGUCUCAGUUUUAUCUAUGAAAACGCCUGCGGGCGCAGAAAACACUCUAAGGAAUUUUGCAAAUGGCAAAGAUUAAAGGUCAAGUUAAGUGGUUCAACGAGUCUAAAGGUUUUGGUUUCAUUACUCCGGCUGACGGCAGCAAAGAUGUAUUCGUACACUUCUCUGCAAUCCAGGGUAACGGCUUCAAAACUCUGGCUGAAGGUCAGAACGUUGAGUUCGAAAUUCAGGACGGCCAGAAAGGCCCAGCGGCUGUUAACGUAACCGCU
rnacentral:sRNA from 1 species